AGUGAACGCUGGCGGUAGGCCUAACACAUGCAAGUCGAACGGCAGCACAGUAAGAGCUUGCUCUUACGGGUGGCGAGUGGCGGACGGGUGAGGAAUACAUCGGAAUCUACUUUUUCGUGGGGGAUAACGUAGGGAAACUUACGCUAAUACCGCAUACUACCUACGGGUGAAAGCAGGGGAUCUUCGGACCUUGCGCGAUUGAAUGAGCCGGUGUCGGAUUAGCUAGUUGGCGGGGUAAAGGCCCACCAAGGCGACGAUCCGUAGCUGGUCUGAGAGGAUGAACAGCCACACUGGAACUGAGACACGGUCCAGAAUCCGACGGGAGGCAGAAGUGGGGAAUAUUGGAAAAUGGGCGCAAGCCUGAUCCAGCCAUACAGCGUGGGUGAAGAAGGCCUUCGGGUUGUAAAGCCCUUUUGUUGGGAAAGAAAAGCAGCAGGUUAAUACCCCGCUGUUCUGACGGUACCCAAAGAAUAAGCACCGGCUAACUUCGUG
rnacentral:rRNA from 1 species